CCAGACUCCUACGGGAGGCAGCAGUGGGGGAUAUUGCACAAUGGGGGAAACCCUGAUGCAGCGACGCCGCGUGGGCGAAGAAGUAUUUCGGUAUGUAAAGCCCUAUCAGCAGGGAAGACGAAAUGACGGUACCUGAGUAAGAAGCACCGGCUAAAUACGUGCCAGCAGCCGCGGUAAUACGUAUGGUGCAAGCGUUAUCCGGAUUUACUGGGUGUAAAGGGAGCGUAGACGGCAAGGCAAGUCUGGAGUGAAAGCCCGUGGCCCAACCACGGGACUGCUUUGGAAACUGUGUUGCUGGAGUGCAGGAGGGGUAAGCGGAAUUCCUAGUGUAGCGGUGAAAUGCGUAGAUAUUAGGAGGAACACCGGUGUCGAAGGCGGCUUACUGGACUGUAACUGACGUUGAGGCUCGAAGGCGUGGGGAGCAAACAGGAUUAGAUACCCGGGUAAG
rnacentral:rRNA from 1 species